rnacentral:rRNA from 2 species
UGGGGAAUAUUGGGCAAUGGGCGAAAGCCUGACCCAGCGACGCCGCGUGAAGGAAGAAGAUCUUCGGAUUGUAAACUUUAGUCAACAGGGAAGAAGAAAGUGACGGUACCUGUGGAGGAAGCCACGGCUAACUACGUGCCAGCAGCCGCGGUAAUACGUAGGUGGCGAGCGUUAUCCGGAAUUACUGGGUGUAAAGGGUGUGUAGGCGGGCCGACAAGUCAGAUGUGAAAACUAUGGGCUUAACCCAUAGCCUGCAUUUGAAACUGCCGGUCUUGAGUGUGGGAGAGGUAAAUGGAAUUCCUGGUGUAGCGGUGAAAUGCGUAGAUAUCAGGAGGAACACCGGUGGCGAAGGCGAUUUACUGGACCAUAACUGACGCUGAGACACGAAAGCGUGGGGAGCAAACAGG